rnacentral:rRNA from 1 species
UACGAAGGGGGCUGGCGUUGCUCGGAAUCACUGGGCGUAAAGGGUGCGUAGGCGGGUUUUUAAGUCAGAGGUGAAAUCCUGGAGCUCAACUCCAGAACUGCCUUUGAUACUGAAAGUCUUGAGUAUGGGAGAGGUGAGUGGAACUGCGAGUGUAGAGGUGAAAUUCGUAGAUAUUCGCAAGAACACCAGUGGCGAAGGCGGCUCACUGGCCCAUUACUGACGCUGAGGCACGAAAGCGUGGGGAGCAAACAGG